rnacentral:rRNA from 1 species
CAUGCAAGUCGAACGGAAAGGCCCUUCGGGGUACUCGAGUGGCGAACGGGUGAGUAACACGUGGGUGAUCUGCCCUGCACUUUGGGAUAAGCCUGGGAAACUGGGUCUAAUACCGAAUACACCCUUCUGGCUGCAUGGUCUGGUUGGGGAAAGCUUUUGCGGUGUGGGAUGGGCCCGCGGCCUAUCAGCUUGUUGGUGAGGUUACGGCUCACCAAGGCGACGACGGGUAGCCGGCCUGAGAGGGUGACCAGCCACACUGGGACUGAGAUACGGCCCAGACUCCUACGGGAGGCAGCAGUGGGGAAUAUUGCACAAUGGGCGCAAGCCUGAUGCAGCGACGCCGCGUGAGGGAUGACGGCCUUCGGGUUGUAAACCUCUUUCGCCAGGGACGAAGCGCAAGUGACGGUACCUGGAGAAGAAGGACCGGCCAACUACGUGCCAGCAGCCGCGGUAAUACGUAGGGUCCGAGCGUUGUCCGGAAUUACUGGGCGUAAAGAGCUCGUAGGUGGUUUGUCGCGUUGUUCGUGAAAACUCACA